AUUGAACGCUGGCGGCAUGCCUUACACAUGCAAGUCGAACGGCAGCACGGGCUUCGGUCUGGUGGCGAGUGGCGAACGGGUGAGUAAUGUAUCGGAACGUACCAUUGAGUGGGGGAUAACGUAGCGAAAGUUACGCUAAUACCGCAUAUUCUCUCCGGAGGAAAGCAGGGGACCGCAAGGCCUUGCGCUCUUUGAGCGGCCGAUAUCAGAUUAGCUAGUUGGUGGGGUAAAAGCGCACCAAGGCGACGAUCUGUAGCGGGUCUGAGAGGAUGAUCCGCCACACUGGAACUGAGACACGGUCCAGACUCCUACGGGAGGCAGCAGUGGGGAAUUUUGGACAGUGGGGGCAACCCUGAUCCAGCCAUGCCGCGUGAGUGAAGAAGGCCUUCGGGUUGUAAAGCUCUUUCGGCCGGGAAAAAAUCGCAUGAGUUAAUACCUUGUGUGGAUGAUGGUACCGGAAUAAGAAGCACCGGCUAACUACGUGCCAGCCGCCGCAGUAA
rnacentral:rRNA from 1 species